rnacentral:lncRNA from 13 species
GGUGUGCUGCAAGUAAUUUAUACUAAUGAAAAUUACAAUAGUCAAGUUCAUGAAUAAUCAUUCAUGAAUAACCAAGAUUAUUCCUAAGACAUUACUCUUGCCCUCACAUUUCUAAGAAAAAAGCAGCAGAGAUACAACUAGUAUGCUGGAAACUACAUACAACACAGUGAACACAAGUGGGAAUGUGUGUCAUCUGAAUGCCACCUAUCAUGUCAAAGUAGGCUGACUGCAGAUCUGAAGCAAGCAUCUCUCUGCUACCUAAUACACCCUAAAUAUGAAUCCCUGUUCCAUCUUCAACCAAGUAACCUCUGGCAUUUAUAACCUGUUUCUUAAUAUGAAAAUAAGAAUAAUCCCUGUCUAGAUUUGUAAAUAAUAAUAUUUAUUAAAAAAAAAACAUAUACUUCUAAUCCUUUGAUCAGCAUGGUCUGCCUACCUGGUUGGCUGGAUGGACUGAGGAGGAGCAGGUUCAGAACCCUCUGGGAAAGCUCCUAUACAAGGAGGAGUCAGACAGGACGGGGGAAGUCCUCAGUGGUUUGAACAAGGAGAAGCAGAAAGAGGCACUGAGGGCCAGCGUUCUGCCUCGAGAAAGCAGAAGCUGGUGGCUACAUAGUAUACAGUUUGUUCAGAGGCCUCCCACUUCUGACUGGUUUCCCACUAAGAAGAAAAAAAAAGGUAAGGCUCAAAAAUAUACCCACAUGGUUCCUGAUGGGGUGGGGAAGAAAUUAAAAUGUCUAAUUCUUCUUCUCAAUAACUUUAAAAUAUGCAAAUCAAAUUCUAAAUUUUCUACUGUCAACUGGCUAUAUCAGCUUGGACUCAGGUCAGAUACAGACAGGUCACUGAGGCUGACUGAGAAUUACCUAUAUUUUACUCUUAUUUUUAUUCACAAUGCUUUCAGGAAAAAAACUUUUGAUUAAUUUUUCUCAUCAUUCUACUCAAAGUACCAUAGGCUCUUUAUUCUAUCAAAUGAGAUUCUUACUCUGAAAAAUACAAUGGAAUUCUUUAAAGAUAAAAUGUGCAACCUCCAAAUAGAAUCUUGAGUCCUGCCCUAUUCCCUGAACUUCAGAUUCACAUCUUCAAUGUUCUUCACAUUUCUACUUCAAAGUCUAGCCAGCAUCUGAAACUUAACACAGUCGAAAGGAGUUUCAUUCAUAUCCACCCCUUCUCAUAUUCCAACAGCCAUUUCUCUUCCAGGCUGGUGUCAAAGGCUGUCACACUGACCUUCCACUGAGCUGUUAACACUUAAACUGUCCAUGGGUAGUGAAGCUAAAAGAGCAUGGAUUGUAACACUCCUUCUGGGGCCUCAGGGCCUGCACAGAGUUUUGCUCCUGCCCGCACCCAAAAGCACUCACCCCAGCUCCUGCACACGCUUACCUGCAUGUUCCCUCCUACGAUGGGUUGAGCACAGGGGGUUCUACUGAGUGGAGUCUGCCCCUGCCAGUGCCUAAGUGCUACUUCCAGCACCCACACCCCAGUUCCAGCAAAGCGUUCAGGGAAAUUAUCCUCCUUCACUAUCUCAGUCAGGUGACCAAAUCAACAUCAACAGUGAGCAGUCACAUUGAAAGUACACACCCUUGCCUUUGUAUGAUGUGAUGAAAAGGACACUUCAUCUUUUCGGUCUUCCUCCCAGGCAUCCAUAAACCCAGAUGUAUUAUGAGAAUCACAAUUGAUAAAUCUCACUUGAGGGACAUUCUACAAAAUACGUGACCAGUAGUCCUCAAACCUGACAAGGUCACCAAAAAAGAAAGGAAAGUCUGAGAAACUGCCACAGUCUAAAGGAAGCUAAGGAGACACAAAGACUAAAUGUAGUAUGGUAACCUGCAUAAGAUCCAGGAACACAAAAAGGCCCUUGUUAUAAACUGAAUGUUUGUGGCCUGCCCAGAAUCCUCAUAUGUUGAAGCUUUAACCUCAAAUGUA